GUGCUCAAUUUGGCAUCACAUUUCCUAAAAAAUUAGGAUACAGAGAUUAGCAUGGCCCCUGUGCAAGGAUGACACACAAAUCUGUGAAGUGUUCCAUAUUAAA